GCACGUGAGAAGACAGCCCGUGCUACUGAGUACCCUGAUGGCCAAGGAGCAGAGAUGAUGACACACUGUAGCACAAUGACUGGAACAAGACAUUGUGCCCUGAUGUGACUACUGGUUAGUUGUGACUACCAGUGAGACGCUACUCCAUAUCAGGUUGUGUGACAAGCGCGUGAAGAGGAGCAAAGGACUACAACACUAUUCCAGACAUUUUCAUUCAGAAAGACUAAAUGCACGACAAGCCAUCAUGCUUCUGAUGAUUGGAAUUUUCUCUUGGGUCAAGAUUAAUGCAGCAGUUAUAAUCCUCUAUAUUCUAUUUUUCUACACAUGGUUGUAUUUAUAUCAGUGACUCACAUUUUUAAGGAUGGCUUAAGUUAUCUAAAUUAAGAUUUCAGUAUGACAUCUCCUUUUUGCAGUAUAUCUGAAAGAAAAUUGAAUGUGUUGCAACAGAUUUGCUUUUGGACUGGUACAGUUUAGGCCUAGAUUCAACCAGAUUAAAUGUUAAACAGUGAUAGAUGAUACCUUGCACAGCUGAUGUUUUGGUGGUGUCAGAGGUGUCAUUGAAAUGGAGCUGUCAAAUCGGUGAGCUGCUGCUCUUGUAAUCUUUGUCAUGAAGCUACACCCGUUCCACUCGCUUUAGAGUUCAACAUGAAAAAGUGUAGACUAUAGAAAUAAUCACUCAAAUUUCAAAAUCAUUCAACAAAAUGAGGAUUUCUAUCAGCCUCAUCGAGGUGUAGAUUACACCUCACAUCCCAGUGUUUGAAGUUGUGAACAAGGCUGCAUGGGAUUUCUCAUAAUGACUGUAGCCAAUGGCAAUGUCCGCUUUAGGUAUAAUGGCGGGAGCUGCUUGUGGAUUUGACAGCUCUAGCGCAGUUCCACCUCCGACACUUCUGAUAGAAUCUAGCCCUUAGUCUUGAUAUUUGUGGAUAAUAAAUAACUGAAGUGGAAUGCCUUUUGAAUGAUAUUUUGCCUUUUGCUUAUGAAACAAUAUGGUUUGGAUAUUUGCAUAGUUGUUGACAAUGUUUUUAAAGGUUGAGUUGCAUACCCUUUUCAAAGCAUUUUCCAGCAGUUAUACAUUAUAAAAUGUAGGCAACAAUCUUCUAAAAUGUUAUGACUACUGACUAGUCAAGUUUGAUUUGAUAGGCCUAC